rnacentral:lncRNA from 1 species
AAAGUUGCAGGUUUUUUGUUUGUUUUUGUUUUUGCUUUUGUUUUUAUUUUGUUCAUUGCAGAGUGAAAACCUAUGCUCUAUGGUAAAGACUGUCAGAAGGAGCUGUAAAAAUCCUAGUUAAAUAAAACAAAAGGAGGAAGAAGAGAAGGAGUAGAAGAGUUAAUUCUACUCUUAAUUUGAUGUGCCCUUAUCAUAGUCAGCUUUUGGUUACAUCCAUAGAAAAUGUUUUAAGGAAAAAUAAAAGGAGAUCAACUUUAAUUUUCCAUUCAGCAUUAUAUCUUUUUUACUGACUCAGAACACAAGAUGUUUCUCGAUUACAGAUAAGAUAGGCAUAUAUAUUUAUAAGAUAUAUAUGGCUUUAUAAAUAUAUAUGUGUGUGAAAUUCCUUCUGUUCAUUAGUAAAUUUUCCUCUAAUAGCCUCUGCGUUCACUGACAAACUCAUUCUUCUGAAUUCUUCAUUAAAGUAAGUUACUUUUAUUUUUUUUCUAUUUACUGCUUUCAUUGAUAUAUCCCCCAAUGUUCAUAAAUCUGAAUUUUUUCUCAUUUUUAACACAAGGAAGCACUCUAAAAUAAAAUCACUACACUGUGUUCCCUCUACUACCAAAAUCAACCUCAAAAAAAAAAAAAAAACUGCCCAUGAACUUCAGAGUACUAAGUGUAAUAUUUAUGUUGUAAAUUUCAAUCUUCAUAAUCUAAAUGUUACCUUUCAAAAGGCAUGCUGUGUCAUUUAAAAAAAAAAGAGUUAAUGUGAAAUGACCUUAUUACAUAGUGCAUGAAUACGUGGCAAAGUAUUACGGAUCUAUCUUUACUAGUCAAUGAGAGGUUAAAUUUGGGGAGAUCAGAUAUGUUUUAGGCUAAUGUCAAUUGGAAGGAUGGAAUCUUAAUGUUAGCAUAAUGGGCAGUUUUCCAUACUGCUUGCAGUAUAUGCUCCUGUUAACAACAAUCCUUAGUGUACUCUUUCCACCAAAGUAGUGGAGAUGUGUUCAUAUAAUCUGCUAUUUAAUUACAACUUUUACAACUUCAGAAAUUGAGGGAACCCAAAUAGGAAAGUGUAUGUAAUCAUUUUCCUCUGCUGGCGUUCAAGUUGUAUUUUAAACUCAGACACUCUCAGAUCUGUUCACAGUCAGUACAAGUGCAUUUUACAUAGUACUUCUCUUGAGUUUUGCUCACCCUCUUUUGACUUUGUACAAUCUAGGAUGUAGGUGACUCAUGAGUAGGUGAUGGGGGCGCUCCUUUUUUUCUUAGAAUACUUACAAUUAUAUAUUUGGUUUUGCUUUGACUAGCAAUAGGAAAAUAGACAAAUACAAGUGUACAAAUGAGAAAUUUUAACCUCGACUUAUAAUUUGUGUUUUAUAGUCGUUUCAUAAGUCUGUUGCUCUCUAUGAGUAUGCUCUCUAUAUAUCCUGUAAAAAUAAAUUUAUAUGUUACAUAGAAAUUCAAGAAAUUAAAUUAUUUAUUAAGCU